rnacentral:rRNA from 1 species
CUCCCCACCCGGAAGUAAGGAGCAGGUAUCAGGCACAUUAUUAUAGCCCACAACACCUUGCUUAGCCACACCCCUAAGGGAACUCAGCAGUGAUAAAUAUUAAGCCAUAAGUGUAAACUUGACUUAACUAUCGCUAAGAGGGCCGGUAAACCUCGUGCCAGCCACCGCGGUUAUACGAGGGGCCCAAGUUGACAGCCAUCGGCGUAAAGCGUGGUUAAGAAUAAAUAUAGAUUAAAGCCGAACGCAAACUAAGCUGUUAUACGCAAUCGAAAAUGGAAGCCCAAUUACGAAAGUAGCUUUAUAUAACUGACCCCACGAAAGCCAGGGCACAAACUGGGAUUAGAUACCCCACUAUGCCUGGCCCUAAACAUUGAUAGUUUAUUACACCCACUAUCCGCCUGGGAACUACGAGCAAAACUUGAAACCCAAAGGACUUGGCGGUGCUUUAGACCCAUCUAGAGGAGCCUGUCCUAGAACCGAUAAUCCCCGUUCAACCUUACCUUUUCUUGUAUAUACC